rnacentral:rRNA from 1 species
CGAGCGGACAGAUGGGAGCUUGCUCCCUGAUGUUAGCGGCGGACGGGUGAGUAACACGUGGGUAACCUGCCUGUAAGACUGGGAUAACUCCGGGAAACCGGGGCUAAUACCGGAUGGUUGUUUGAACCGCAUGGUUCAAACAUAAAAGGUGGCUUCGGCUACCACUUACAGAUGGACCCGCGGCGCAUUAGCUAGUUGGUGAGGUAACGGCUCACCAAGGCAACGAUGCGUAGCCGACCUGAGAGGGUGAUCGGCCACACUGGGACUGAGACACGGCCCAGACUCCUACGGGAGGCAGCAGUAGGGAAUCUUCCGCAAUGGACGAAAGUCUGACGGAGCAACGCCGCGUGAGUGAUGAAGGUUUUCGGAUCGUAAAGCUCUGUUGUUAGGGAAGAACAAGUACCGUUCGAAUAGGGCGGUACCUUGACGGUACCUAACCAGAAAGCCACGGCUAACUACGUGCCAGCAGCCGCGGUAAUACGUAGGUGGCAAGCGUUGUCCGGAAUUAUUGGGCGUAAAGGGCUCGCAGGCGGUUUCUUAAGUCUGAUGUGAAAGCCCCCGGCUCAACCGGGGAGGGUCAUUGGAAACUGGGGAACUUGAGUGCAGAAGAGGAGAGUGGAAUUCCACGUGUAGCGGUGAAAUGCGUAGAGAUGUGGAGGAACACCAGUGGCGAAGGCGACUCUCUGGUCUGUAACUGACGCUGAGGAGCGAAAGCGUGGGGAGCGAACAGGAUUAGAUACCCUGGUAGUCCACGCCGUAAACGAUGAGUGCUAAGUGUUAGGGGGGUUUCCGCCCCUUAGUGCUGCAGCUAACGCAUUAAGCACUCCGCCUGGGGAGUACGGGUCGCAAGACUGAAACUCAAAGGGAAUUGACGGGG